GGCGAACGGGUGAGUAACACGUGGGCAACCUGCCCAAAAGAGGGGGAUAACACUUGGAAACAGGUGCUAAUACCGCAUAACCAUAGUUACCGCAUGGUAACUAUGUAAAAGGUGGCUAUGCUACCGCUUUUGGAUGGGCCCGCGGCGCAUUAGCUAGUUGGUGGGGUAAAGGCUUACCAAGGCAAUGAUGCGUAGCCGAACUGAGGGGUUGAUCGGCCACAUUGGGACUGAGACACGGCCCAAACUCCUACGGGAGGCAGCAGUAGGGAAUCUUCCACAAUGGGCGAAAGCCUGAUGGAGCAACGCCGCGUGGGUGAAGAAGGUCUUCGGAUCGUAAAACCCUGUUGUUAGAGAAGAAAGUGCGUGAGAGUAACUGUUCACGUUUCGACGGUAUCUAACCAGAAAGCCACGGCUAACUACGUGCCAGCAGCCGCGGUAAUACGUAGGUGGCAAGCGUUAUCCGGAUUUAUUGGGCGUAAAGGGAACGCAGGCGGUCUUUUAAGUCUGAUGNGAAAGCCUUCGGCUUAACCGGAGUAGUGCAUUGGAAACUGGGAGACUUGAGUGCAGAAGAGGAGAGUGGAACUCCAUGUGUAGCGGUGAAAUGCGUAGAUAUAUGGAAGAACACCAGUGGCGAAAGCGGCUCUCUGGUCUGU
rnacentral:rRNA from 1 species